rnacentral:misc_RNA from 1 species
GAUGAAGAACGCAGCAAAAUGCGAUACUUGGUGUGAAUUGCAGAAUCCCGUGAACCAUCGAGUCUUUGAACGCAAGUUGCGCCCGAAGCCAUUAGGCCGAGGGCACGCCUGCCUGGGCGUCACACGUCGUUGCCCCCCCAUCUACUCCUUCGGGAUUGCGGGGGGCGGAUGAUGGCCUCCCGUGCGCCUCGUCGCGCGGUUGGCAUAAAUGCCAAGUCCUCGGCGACGCACGCCACGACAAUCGGUGGUUGCGAAACCUCGGUUGCCCGUCGUGUGCGGUCGUCGCGCAUCGAGGGCUCGAAAAAAUUGCCGGGCUCCGGCUCGGCUUUCAACGCGACCCCAGGUCAGGCGGGGUUACCCGCUGAAUUUAAGCAUAUCAAUAAGCGGAGGA